AGUUUCUAGCUAUUAUCAUGAUUUCUUUUUUGGUGGCCAUAUACAUUCUCUUAGGUAUAUUCCUAGGAGUGGAAUUGUGGGGUCAUGUGGUAAAAGUAUGCUUAAUUUCAGUAUACACAGUCAAACAGCUUUCCAAAAUGGUUUAACCAUUUUACGUUCCCACCCGGAGGUGUAUGAGUGUCCCAGUGGCUCUACAUCCUCACCAAUGCGCCUUACUGUCAGUCUUUCUUUCCUAACCCUUCCAGUGAGUUAGAAACUAUAUCUUAUUGUGGAUUUAAGGCAAUGAGUUUGAGCACUUUGCCUGUACUUAUCGACCAUGAGUCCAUUUCUUUUUGUGAAUUGCCCAUUCACGUUGUUUGUCCCUUUUUAAUUGGAUUGCUUUUUUGUUAUUGAUUUAUGGCAGCUCUUUACAUAUGAUACUUAUGAGUUCUUUGUCAGAAAUGUGUAUCAUGUAUAUUUUUCCUGAUCCGUGGAUUGUUUUUCACUUAAUAGUGUCUUUGAUGAGCAUAAGUUUAAAAUUUUGAUGACAUUAAAUUUAUAUAUUUCUUUAUGAUUACUUCCUGUGUCCUCUCUAAAAAAUAUUUGCCUACUCCAAAAGAGUGAGGAUGUUUUCUCAUGCUUUCUUCUAGAAGAUUCAUAUUUCUACCUUCCACCUUUUGGUCAAUGAUGCAUCUUGAAUGAAUGUACGUGUAUGGGGUGAGGGAGAGAUCAAAGUUUAUUUUUUCCAUAUUGUCAGCUAGUUCCACGACUGUGUGUUGAAAAGACUCUCCUUGGUCUGCUGAAUUGCCCUGGUGCCUCAGUUGACUAUAUAUGUGUGGAUCUGUUUCUGGACUCUCUUCCAUUCCAUUGAUCUAUUUGUCUGUUUUGCACUAAUAUCACACAAUCUUAAUUAUUGUAGCUUUAUGGUAAAGAGAGUGUCCUCCAACUUUAUUGGGUUUUUUUCAAAGAUUUUAUUGGAUAUUCUAGGCUUUUUACAUUUCUGGAUUCAUUUUAGAAUUACCUUUUCAAUGUCUGUAAAAAGACCUGCUGAGAUUUUAUUGGGAUUGGAUGGACUCUAUAGACCAGUUUAGGGAGAACUGCUAUCCUAACAAAAUUGCAUUUUCUAAUCGACGAGUCUGGCAAACCUAUUCAGGUUUUGAAAACAUUAAUUCCCCUCAACAUGUUUUAUAGCUUAUAGUGUAGAGAUCUUCCAUAUCUUUUAUUAGAUGAAUUCUUAGGCAUUUGAUAUGUUUGAUACUAUUAUAAAUGGUAUUUAAAUUUUUCAUUUUCCAAUUGUUCAUUACUAAUAUAUAGAAAUAAAAUUCGUUUUUGUAUAUUGACUUUACAUUUUUGCUAAAUUUGCUUGUUACUUUUAGUAGUUUUGUCAUAGAUUCCUUAGGCUUUCCAUAUACACAGUCAUGUUGGCUCAUACGGACAAUUUUGCUUCAUCCUGUUCAAUUUUUUUUGCCUUUCAUUUCUUUUUCUUACUUUCCUACACCAGCCAGGACCUUCCCAAUGAUGUCAAGUAGAAGCAGUGAAGUAGGACAUCUUGCCUUUUUAUUAGAUUGGGGAAGUUUGUUCUGUUACAUUUUGCUGAGAGUUUUCUUUUCAAUCAGGAAUAAGUGUUGAAUCUUCUCAAAUGCUUUCUCUGCAUCUAUUGAGAUGAUAAUAUUUUUUUCUCCUUUAUUCUGUUGAGUUGGUGAAUUACAUGGAGUUUUAAAUGUUAAACCAACCUUGCACCUUGAAUAAGUCCCACUUGUUUAUGACACAUGCACACACACAGGUUUUGGUUUGCUAAUAUUUUGUUCAAACUUUUUACAUGAUUUUAUUGUUCUGUAACUUUACUUGAUUCUAAUUUUAUACCAUCUGACAAUGCUGCUUUCUAAUUGGAGUGUCUAUUCCAUUUACAUUUAAUUAAGUUACUGAUAAAGUUGAGUUUACAUCUACUUUCUUGCUGUUUGUUUUCUAUGUGUGCCAUCAGUUCUCUGAUUCUUUACUGCUUUCUCUUGGACUCACUGAGCAUUUUAAAAUAUUCUAUUGUAUGUCCUGUCUUGACCUUUUAGUACCUCUUUCCUUUAAAGUGACUGUUCUGGGUAAUACAACAUAAAUCCUUAAAUGAUCACAACCUACGUUGCAUUAAUAUUAUACCACUUCAAGCACAAUUUUAAGGACAUUACAGCAGUGUAAGUCCCUUUAACUCCCCUUCAUCUUGUGCUAUGAUUGUCAUAUAUUUUAUUUCUACAUGUUAUAAACCCCAUAGCAUGAUGAUAUCAUUGCUUUAAACAGUCAAUAAUCUCUGUUCAUUCAUUCUGAAUUCAUAUUUUCCUCUAAAUUAUAUAACAGACUUACAGUAAAAAUUUAAAGUUGUCAUGUGCUAAUUCCAACAUCUGGGUCAUCUGGGCAUUUACCUCUACUAACUGCUUUUUCUCUUGAUUAUUGGGCACAUUUUCAACCAAGAGUCCAACUGACCUGGGGCUCUCUCUCUCACCUCUCAUAUCUUUUUGUUCCUCUCUGGUUUCAAAUGCGUUGAGGAUGGGGUCAGGCCCUCUCCUUCUGCAAGUACCAGGAGACCAUGUGGAUCUCUUUUUGCCCUCAGCCCCAAACUCCAAUUCCUCUUGCAUCCUCCAUGAAAGGAGUGAUCUCUGUGGUCUUAUCAGGAACUGAGCUCAUUGGGAAUUAGCUACAGGUUUUUUAUUUUGGCUGCAUUGGGUCUUUGUUGCUGUGUGCAGGCUUCCUCUAGUUGUGGCGAGCGGGGGCUACUCUUUGUUGCAGUGCUUGGGCUUCUCAUUAUGGUGACUUCUCAUUGUGGAGCACGGGCUCUAGGUGCGUGGGCUUCAGUAGUUGCAGCACGUGGGCUCAUUAGUUGCGGCACAUGGGCCCUAGAAUGUGUGGUCUUCAGUAGUUGCAGUGCAUGGGCUCAGUAGUUGUGGUGCAUAGGCUCUAGGGUGCUCGGGCUUCAGCAGUUGUGGCUGGUGGGCUCUAGAGUGCAGUCUCAGUAGUAGUUGUGGCACACGGGCUACGUUGCUCCACGGCACGUGGGAUCUUCCCAGACCAGGGAUCAAACCCAUGUCCCUGGCAUUGGUAGGUGCAUUCUUUUUUUUUUUUUUUUUUUUUUUGCGGUACAUGGGCCUCUCACUCAUAGAGUCUGCGGCCCAGAGGCCUCACAGGCUCUCCCUGCAGGGGACUCUGCACCUAGGUGACCUGGGGGGUUCCAGGUGGCCUCUCCCGUUGCGGAGCAUAGGCUCCGGAGGUGCAGGCCCAGUGGCCAUGGCUCACAGGCCCAGCCGCUCUGUGGCAUGUGGGACCCUCCUGGACCGGGGCAUGAACCCGUGUCCCCUGCAUCGGCAGGCGGACUCUUAACCACUGCGCCACCAGGGAAGUCCUAGUUACAGCUUUGAUUAGUUCUAGUUCAACCAUGGUUUCAACUCUUUUGAGAAUAAAAUCAGACACCAUCUCACCCCCAGCAGGGCCUGGAAUCUAAACACCAUGAAACUCAAGAUCUUGCUCUGCUUUCCAACCUCACCUCCAUCUGCCUCUAACUUCGCAUUAUCAGGUGAUAGAGAUUAUUUUUACCUUUGGGUCUCUUUCAAAUUCCAGUCUGUCAUCUAAAAAAGAACAUAUAUAUAAAAUAUAUUAUAUAUGUAUGUACACAUAUAUGUAUCAUAUAUGUACACAUAUUACACAUAUAUAAUAUAUUACACUUAUAAAUGUGUAAUAUGUAUAUGUGUGCAUAUAUGGAUAUAUUUUAUAUGUAUAUGUAAUUAUAUAUGUAUAAUAUAUAUGUAUAACUGAAUCACUUUUCUGUACACCUGAAACCAAGACAACAUUGUAAUUCAAUAAAAAUUUUAAAAAAAAAGGAAAAGAAAAACAUUCCAGUCACAUAAGCCCAUGGUGCUGAAAGGGGUUGGCUGGUUUCUCCGUGAGCCUCAAGUGUCUUGGCCUAUGGCAGGCAGAGGAGUGGGGCCCCGGCCUUAGUAACUACCCCAGAUAUAAUGGCAGCCAUUACUGUUUGCUCACUUAUGAAGGCCUUGUCUUUCUCUGAAAUUUGCUUCAUUUCGAGGUUUUUUUUUGCGUUUGUAGCUCUUUGAAGGCUUAUCAAGUAUGAUUCUGUAGUUUGUGUGGUAUUUUCUUGCUGUUUCUGUAGAGUAAUGGUCUUCAUUUUCUACAUCAACUAGAAGCAGGACUCCACUGUAGACAUAGUUUUUGGUGCAUAUCAGGAAGAUGGGAGACACCACCAAGCAGAAAAGUGGGAGAAAAAAGACUCAUGAGUGCUGAUGGAGGGUGAGUGGGACCCUGAGCCUGUGGGAAACGGGUCCCCAGGGGCCCAUGCCUCCACUCCUGAGUCCCCAGCAAGGCAGGGGGCUGAGCCUCAUCCUUCCUCAGACAACCUGGGAUACCUAGGUCCUAGGUCAGCAGCAAUGCCAGGCUCCCAGAGAAAGAAAAUGACUCCCCUGUGGAGGACGGUGACCCGACUGGAAGCCUUGCGGACCCCCAGACGCUGCGACCACGAGCGUAUGAACUACCUCACUGUGACCAUUUCACCAGCACCCCAGGAAAGCAAAUGCCGUGGGCGAGAGGCAGCAAGAAUAACACGACAGAUGCGCCCCCCAGGAGUGCAGGCACUGGGAUGCUCGGAUUCGGAAUGUGAAAUGGAUGUGCACAAAACGUUUGAGGACGGGAAAGCUGGAAGCUGUCAGGGCAGCAUAGCACAGUGUUCACUGCCCCGCCCUUGUGGCCAGGCAGCUUGAGUUCAAGUCCUGACUCUGCCACUUACCAGCUGGUGGUCCUGGAGAGGUCACCAGCCAGCUGUCCUCCUGUGACGUGCUCAGCUCCACCUCCUGCCCACAACUGAAGACACUCAGGAUGUGUGCCCUGGGCCAGCCUUCGGGUUCUCUGAGACUGACCUCCUUGGGGGAGACACGAGGAGCCCACCCAAGCCCUAGGGGACUUUCUGUUCCCAGACUAAGCUCCCUGCCUUGCCUGCGGCUGCCUGCGGCUGGGGCUCAGCAGGUUGCAUCCUUGAUGACCCUUCAGUGGGAAACCCUGUGUUCUGGGGCUGGACACAGGCAUCCUCUGCUGGACCACGGUGACGGCUUUACAUCAACGCGCCAAGUUGUCAGCUCCUCGACAGCCCCAAGUGGAGCUUAGUCUCAGGAUGCCGCCCCCGGGGAAAUCCUGUGAACUGCCACCUGCCCGUCACAAGAGGAGGCAGGCUCGAGCCCAGGCCUCCAUGGCACCAGGGCUUCCUGACUUCCACGACGCAGGAGUCAGUGGGAAGGUGCCGGGUCUGACGGGGGGGCGGUGCUCUGGAAUGGGGGUGGGGUCUCCUAAGUGCAGUGUGGCUGCAGCUCUCAAGGAGAGAAUCUUGGAAAGAGUCUGCAGAAAUGCAGAUCUUCAGUUGCUUCUCGCUGCUCUGGAGGGACCCCCAGGCUGCGUCCCGGGGCCCAGGGGUCCUGAUGGACCUGGCCGCUGCCCCAUCUCCAGCAGCGGCUCCUGGCUGGCCCAGUGCCGGGCAGAUUCACUUCCUCGGAGGUUGUCUGAUGGUGUUUUGGCUUCAGGUGUGAACGAAUCUGACACCGGCCAAGCCAGAGUUCCAGCAAACCCAAUACAGACUUGUCCUGGCAGGUUUGGGGGGCACAGAGGGGAAUGAGAAGGGCCCCCAAACCCCAGAGAACCGAGAACAUUUCCCAGUGGAGGGGUCAGUAUGGUGCGGAGUGUGGGAAAUUCGGCACGGCCGUUUCUACCAGCGUUAGUUGUCUCGGGCCAGUCACGUGAUACCCAACACUCGGUUCCCCUCCCGUCAGAUGGAAAUAAUGCCUUUUGUUCUGGUCUAAAUUAGCAGUAAGGGCUCUAAAGCAGCCCCCACAGAACCUGGCCCCGAUACCGUCUUUUCUGUAAUAAUAAUGAUACCAACACUAUUUUACUUUGCUAUUUUAUUCAAUGCUCACAGCUCCUUAUGAGGAGAGCAUGGCCGGGUCUUCCUUGUGUCCACUUUACAGACGAGAACACUGAGGCACAGAGGACCAGGCAUGCAGCCGACGAGGGGCAGAAGCUCAUGGAAACUUGGCGUUUGGGGUCCUGGUGCUGCCUCUUCCCUCCAGGCAGUGAUGCCCCAUCAUACAGCCCUGAGUCUUGGAGCCGCCACCAGAAAGCAAGCCAGUGCUGGUGACGCGGAGAGCUCAGUCUCUCUACACCGGUGCCGAAUCGAAUCUCGGAGAGAGAGUUUUGGGUGGAGUGAAAAGAAUAGCUUUACUGCUUUGCCAGGCAAAGGGGGACACAGCGGGCUCCUGCCUUGAAGAGCUAUGUGUCCCAACCUGGGAGGAUUUUUUUUUUUAAUUUUUAAUUUUUGGCUGCGUUGGGUCUUCGUUGCGGCGCACGGGCUUCUCGUUUCGGUGGCUUCUCUUGUUGCGGAGCACGGGCUCUAGGCGCGCGGGCUUCGGUAGUUGCAGCAUGUGGGCUUCAGUAGUUGUGGCUCACGGGCUCUAGCGCGCAGGCUCGGUAGCUGUGGUGCAUGGGCUUAGUUGCUCCGUAGCAUGUGGGAUCUUCCCGGACCAGGGAUCGAACCCGUGUCCCCUGCAUUGGCAGGCGGAUUCUUAACUACUGAGCCACCAGCGAAGUCCAACCUGGGAGGAUGUGAUGAGGAGUUUUCUAGCACUAGUUCAAGGGUGGGGUUGCUGACAAGAUGAGGGUGUGUGCAGGGUCUCAGGUGGUCAGUCUCCUAAUCUUGAGGAGUUUCUCUGGUCCCGCUAAUCUCGCCUCAGGUGGUUUCUUAGCUGUUCCUCCCUUGAUGAGCAACUGUCCACAUCUGCCCUUUGGAACUCAGGGAAGGUCAUGGAGGCUGCAGUCUUGCCUACAAGAAACAGGGGACAACAAAAAGCCUUCUGUGCCCAGGAGCCCACAGGCCAUCCUCCCCCCUCGCCCCACCCCAGUUUUACUGGGACCCAGGAGGUGGCGUUGUUGUCUGAGCCACACAGACAAGAAGAAUUCCAAAGGAGGCUCCGGAAGUAUUUCAUCUCUGCUGCCGGAUUCAGUCCCGGUUCUGUUCGGACUUGAUCUGUUUGGGGACAGACGAAGGAGCCCUUCGGGUCACACCAGCUGCAGCAGCUGUCAUGACACGAGCCGAGACAGGGCCAUCGGAAGAAACUGCUUCUCCUGAGCAGUCAGACAGAGAUGUGGGGCUGAGUCCCGCUCGGAGGGAAGCUUUGGGGCUCAUCAACCUUCUGUCAGUGCCGUCGGUGCGACGGGCAAGGGACUCAGACAGCUGAUGGGUGGCAAGGAUCCAGCUGCGGGGGAGAGUUUGGAGAAGCAGGACCUGGGGCAGGACUACUUCCUCCUCUUGCUGCACCAGCCCACGAGUCUGAUUUACUUCUGCAGAAGUGCAUUCGAGGGUCGAGAUGUAACAGGCGAACAAGCAAUGAGGAUGCCGGGAUUCGGGGCCAUCCUGGGCUCGCAAAGAGCCUGUGUUCUGAAUAGACCUUUUGUUCGGCACGGCCAUAAUGAAGGGGGGGAAUUGGCAGUAGGCGCCCAGAGAGUGCUCUAAGUGUCCAUUCUAAGUGGAGCAUUUUAAUCGAACAUCCGUGUAAUUUAUUUGAAUAAAAAUGUGUGUUCUUUCACAACCCAGCUCUCUCCCCAGUCUUUCCAUAUUAAUAGACCAUUAAUACUCUAUGAAUGGGUAAUCUUCUUGGAAAACAAAUGCAAGGACAUAAAAGGGAAAUCAUGGUUGUUUAAACUUCGAAACAAGUAAUUGCUGGGGAAGGGAGAGCUGUGUUCUAGGCUCCAGCUUUGGGAGAGGGGAGGUGGGUGGAGCUGGACCAGGAGACUCAUGGUGGGUCCAGCCACUGCCUGAGCCUCUGAGGGUUCUGCACCCCGUUGCACGCCCUGACCUGCAGAGGGUGCCCUAGAACCCCUGUGGCUCAUGGUCGCCCACAAGGGCUGGAUUUGGUGUACAGUCAGCUGCCCCAAGCAGGGAGGGCCUGCCAGGGCAGGUACAGGUGAGAGGCUAGCCAGGAAGGGAGCCUGAUGGGUUGGGUUCCCACCAUCAGGUAUCUGGGGGGUGUCAGGGCCAACCCUGUGCUCUCUUGGAUUACAGAGGUUCAGCCACACCUGUCCCCUGUCCCCUGCAGUGUGGGCUCUGUCGGUCCAAAGAGCCUCCCUGGUUUUCGGACCUUAUGUGGCGGAGGACCCCAGUCUUGGGCUCUGAUCUCCUUUGCCAGACACUUCCCUGGAUCCAACUCUUUUUUUAAAGAAAUUCUUUUGUCUUUACUUAUUAGUUUUUUUUGGAGUAGAGUUGAUUUACAAUGUUGUAUUAGUUUCUGGUGUACAGUAAAGUGAUUCAGUUAUACAUAUAUAUAAAUACAUAUAUUCUUUUUUUACAUUCUCUUCCAUUAUAGGUUAUUACAAGAUACUGAGUAUUGUUCCCUGUGCUAUACUGUAGGUCCUUAUUGGUUAUCUCUUUUAUAUACAGUAGUGUGUAUAUGUCAAUCUCAAUCUCCCAAUUUAUCCCUCCCUCCUGUUCCCCCCGACCUGGUACCCAUAGGAUUGUUGUCUACAUCUGAAACUCUAUUUCUGUUUUGUAACUAAGUUCAUUUGUACCAUUUUUUUUUGGAUAUAAAUGAUAUCAUAUGAUACUUGUCCUUCUCUGUCUGACUUGCUUUGCUCAGUAUGACAAUCUCUAGGUCCAUCCAUGUUGCUACAAAUGGCAUUAUUUCAUUAUUUUUUUAUGGCCAAGUAGUAUUCCAUUGUAUAUAUGUACCACAUCUUUAUCCAUUCCUCUGUCAAUGGACGUUUAGGUUGCUUCCAUGUCCUGGCUACUGUAAAUAGUGCUACAGUGAACACUGGGGUGCCUGUGUGUUUUCCCUGGAUCCAACUCCUGUGAAAAGUUCUCUGUAACUCUGGAUGAGACUUCCCACUCCUGGACCUCAGUUUCCUCACCUGUAAACUAAGGUGGCUGUGUUACCAAACCAAACUUGGGUCUGCUAGGCUGUGCAGCCUAAAGCCAGUCUACUGACAUGAGGUCAUGCGUGGUGAAGGAAAGUGCAGCACUUAUUGCAGGCGCCAAACAAGGAGUCCAGGCAGCUAGAGCUUAAAAGGCCCAAACUCCCCGAAGGGUUUCAGGGAAAGUUUUCUGAAGACAGAGUGAGGAGGGGGGUUGUGGGGUGUGUGAUCAGCUCGUGGACUUUCUUCUGACUGGUUGGUGGUGAGGGAAUCAAGAGUCAGCAUCAUCAACCUUCUGGUUCCAACCGAUCUGGGGUCUACAUGCUUUCAGGCAGCAGACAGUCAACUUCUCCCACCUGGUGGGGGUUUCAACCUCUGCCAAACGCCUCAGAGGAUGCAACUCAGAAUAUCAUCUCUAGCCCUUGAGGAGGAGCUAAAGGUCCUUGACUUUGUUUAAUGGCUAAACUAUUAUUAUUUUAUCUUGUUUGACUGUUUUCCUUUGUUACUGCAUUUUCUCACUUUUCGGAUUAAAUUUAUUCUUUGGAACUCGG